GUGGGGAAUCUUCCGCAAUGGACGAAAGUCUGACGGAGCAACGCCGCGUGAGUGAUGAAGGUCUUCGGAUUGUAAAGCUCUGUUAAUCGGGACGAAAGAGCCUAGUGUGAAUAAUGCUAGGAAGUGACGGUACCGGAAUAGAAAGCCACGGCUAACUACGUGCCAGCAGCCGCGGUAAUACGUAGGUGGCAAGCGUUGUCCGGAAUUAUUGGGCGUAAAGCGCGCGAAGGCGGAUCUGCCAGUCUGUCUUAAAAGUUCGGGGCUUAACCCCGUGAUGGGAUGGAAACUACAGAUCUAGAGUAUCGGAGAGGAAAGUGGAAUUCCUAGUGUAGCGGUGAAAUGCGUAGAUAUUAGGAAGAACACCAGUGGCGAAGGCGACUUUCUGGACGAAAACUGACGCUGAGGCGCGAAAGCCAGGGGAGCGAACGGGAUUAGAUACCCUGGUAGUCC
rnacentral:rRNA from 1 species